GGUGAACGCUGGCGGCGUGCUUAACACAUGCAAGUCGAACGAAGCACCUUGAUUUGAUUCUUCGGAUGAAGAUCUUGGUGACUGAGUGGCGGACGGGUGAGUAACGCGUGGGUAACCUGCCUCAUACAGGGGGAUAACAGUUAGAAUUGACUGCUAAUACCGCAUAAGACCACAGCACCGCAUGGUGCAGGGGUAAAAACUCCGGUGGUAUGAGAUGGACCCGCGUCUGAUUGGGUGGUUGGUGGGGUAACGGCCUACCAAGCCGACGAUCAGUAGCCGACCUGAGAGGGUGACCGGCCACAUUGGGACUGAGACACGGCCCAAACUCCUACGGGAGGCAGCAGUGGGGAAUAUUGCACAAUGGGGGAAACCCUGAUGCAGCGACGCCGCGUGAGCGAUGAAGUAUUUCGGUAUGUAAAGCUCUAUCAGCAGGGAAGAAAAUGACGGUACCUGACUAAGAAGCACCGGCUAAAUACGUGCCAGCAGCCGCCGUAACAC
rnacentral:rRNA from 1 species